rnacentral:sRNA from 1 species
AGGAGUAUGCGAGAGAGAAGACGUAAGGACGCCUCGCUCGUGGCAAGAUCAGAGACUGAUCGGAGAACGCUUUCCUCCUUCCCUCCUUUAUUAGAGAAUUUCCUCAGGCACUGGGGCUUCAUCUUUGUGAAUGUUGAAGGCUUUCUGGAUAUCCUCAUCACUUCUCAUAUUUUCCUGAGCAGCUCGAUCAUUAUCCUUCUGUGAGUUACCAUCUGCCGAGUUCAUCCGACACCCUCUUCAAUUCUCCCAAGUCGCUCUUUCUGGGAAAAGUUAUAGAAACAGGGAAAAUUGACCAAGAGAUUCACAAAUACAACACCCCAGGAUUCACUGGUUGCCUCUCCAGAGUCCAGUUCAACCAGAUCGCCCCUCUCAAGGCCGCCUUGAGGCAGACAAACGCCUCGGCUCACGUCCAUAUCCAGGGCGAGCUGGUGGAGUCCAACUGCGGGGCCUCGCCGCUGACCCUCUCCCCCAUGUCGUCCGCCACCGACCCCUGGCACCUGGAUCACCUGGAUUCAGCCAGUGCAGAUUUUCCAUAUAAUCCAGGACAAGGCCAAGCUAUAAGAAAUGGAGUCAACAGAAACUCGGCUAUCAUUGGAGGCGUCAUUGCUGUGGUGAUUUUCACCAUCCUCUGCACCCUGGUCUUCCUGAUCCGGUACAUGUUCCGCCACAAGGGCACCUACCAUACCAACGAAGCGAAGGGGGCGGAGUCGGCAGAGAGCGCGGACGCCGCCAUCAUGAACAACGACCCCAACUUCACAGAGACCAUUGAUGAAAGCAAAAAGGAAUGGCUCAUUUGAGGGGUGGCUACUUGGCUAUGGGAUAGGGAGGAGAGAAAGGGACAAAAGCACCCUGCUUCAUACUCUUGAGCACAUCCUUAAAAUAUCAGCACAAGUUGGGGGAGGCAGGCAAUGGAAUAUUCUUGAGACUGAUCACAAAAAAAAAAACUUUUUAAUAUUUCUUUAUAGCUGAGUUUUCCCUUCUGUAUCAAAACAAAAUAAUACAAAAAAUGCUUUUAGAGUUUAAGCAAUGGUUGAAAUUUGUAGGUAAUAUCUUGUCUUAUUUUGUGUGUGUUUAGAGGUGUUCUAAAGACCCGUGGUAACAGGGCAAGUUUUCUACAUUUUUAAGAGCCCUUAGAAUGUGGGUAUUUUUUUCUUGAGAAAAGCUAACGCACCUAAAUAUGGCCCCCACCAUUCUCUUCCUUUUGCUUCUAGUCAGUCAGCCUUAAUGGGCUGUUACAGUAACUAGUUCGUGUUCAUAUACUAUUUCCUUUGAUGUCCUAUAAGUUGGAAAAGAAAGGGGCAAAGAGAACCUAUUAUUUGCCAGUUUUCAAGCAGAGCUCAAUCUAUGCCAGCUCUCUGGCAUCUGGGGUUCCUGACUGAUUACCAGCAGUUGAAGGAAGAGAGUGCAUGGCACCUGGUGUGUAACGACACAAUCAGCACAACUGGAGAGAGGCAUUAAAGAACCAGGGAAGGUAGUUUAUAUUGGGGUUGUCGGUUUGAUUUUUCAUUGAAUUCUACAAGCUAAUAUUGUUCCACGUAUGUAGUCUUAGACCAAUUCAAUAUCUAUAACUAUCAGCUGCAAUACCAUGGUGACCAGCUGUUACAAAAGAUUUUUUCCUGUUUCAUCUGAAACAUAUUGGAUUUAUAUAUGUAUAAGCGCCUCAAUGGGGAAUUAGAGCCAGAUGUUAUGAUUUGUUUGCUCUUUUUCUUUUAUAGUUGUAGCAAAAAUAUGCAUAAUUUCUAGUGAAUGCAUAAAUUAGGUUGCGCUUCUUAUUUUGCUUUAAAUCUCUGGUAGUUUUUCCACCCCUGUGACAGAAUCCUAAUAGACAGUGUCCUGUAAAUGGACACAACAUAAUAAAGUCAAGUUAUUAUUGCUGUUACUCUGGAUGAUAUGGAAAACACUGCCAUAUUUUAAAUCAACUACUCCACGUGUUUUUCCAUCCAAUCACACUGCUGUGAUUCAGGGAUCUUCUAAGACAGACACACUUGAACCUCAGGUUCAUCACAGACCUGGUACCUGUUGCUUCCCAGAGGACGGACAAGUGUAGUUAAUCACACAUCUGAAACCUUGACCCAGUUAUUUAACAAAUAACUCAUUGAUUCUAUUUAAAAAUAAUACACUUCAUGUAAACAAAUGGGGACAAUGCAUCCAAAAAAUCUUUUUAAACAGAUUACACAAAAAUUAUUAUUUCUAGAAAGACUACCAUUUAUGACCAUAUAUUUCAAGCCUCUUAUACUUAAUAAGCACUUUCUAAAAAAUCUUGAGAUCCCACCAUUCUGAGGAAUUAAAUGUGAUCACUUUUUCCUUCUUUGCCUGGGAGAGGUUAAGAGGAGGUUUCAAAGGUAUAGAUGCUAUUGUUCUGACGGCCUGGCUCAAUAAAAUGGAGAUUCUAGUUUGUUAGAAUUAUGCAUUCUUUUUCAAGAUGCUCAGUAUGCCUAACUUAUUGGAGCACGUCAGUUUCUUGGGUAAUGGAAAACGUUACCUAGAGUUGCCGGUGGCACAUUACACCAGCACACAGCAUAUUCCAAAGGAGACAGUGGACCAGUUAAUUCCCAUGCAAGUCAGUCAAAGGUAGCAGAACAAAAGGGAAUCCUGAUGCCCUUUUACCAUUGCUGGUUGAGCUCAGGCACUGUCAUGGACACCCUUAAUUUUAAAAGGUUUUAAUAAUUCUUCUAUAAAAUACAUUUAAAAUGGAAAAAUAUUUAAUAUCACUAAAUAUCAGAACAAACAUUUACAAAUGACAUAUUGAAAGCAAAGGCUGUUUUAUUUAGCCAAGAUGAUUACCAUUAGGAGUUAUUAUUUUAUGUAUUGUUGAAAGCAAAAUUUUAAACAUGAUGUUUUAGAAGUGUUUCUGAUUUUUAAACCUGGUUUACAGGUAUUAUUUCUGCACUUACCAAAUAAUGCCAGAUGGAAAUUUAUUAUUUCUUGCAAUUCCUGUGAUAGCUCUGUUCUUUAUGCAUUGUCUCAACACUUUCCCUUUUUUCCCCAAAAUGAGUAGGGAAUUAAAGCCACCCAAAACAGCUUCUGCUACUAAAAUGUUCUCGUCCUUUCUCCUCCCUCUCCUUUUCUUGCCACAAAAGGUGAAAAAUGAGAUCCAAUCCUCUCACCAAAAUUUCAAACCUAGGACACUGGAAUCACUGCAGGGAUCAGUGGUUCUCCCAUAUCGCCAUCAAUUAAGACAUAUAGGACACUGUCUCCCUUCAAGAGGGUUACAAUGUGGCCAUCAGACAGGAAACCAAAAGGUGGAUAAAGUAUUAAGUAACUAAGUGCCAAAUAAAGGCUGGAAAUCUUGACCUCUCCUUGGGAUUAUGGGUUUAACAAAAAUCCCUACAUCUGUUUAUGAAGGCCAUAUCCAGUACAUUUUAAAUGGUAAAUAAUCUAUUUAUGUGAAGAAAAAGAAUUAAGUCUUUCUUCCAACUCUCUCCCUGGAUAGCCUAGCACAGUGCAGCCUCGAUAACCAUGACAUUCCCACCCAAGCUCUCAGUGCCUAAUCCUGCUUUGUCAUUCACAUCUCACAAAAUCUUGACAUCUUAUAUUCCAGUACAUUAUCAAGCAAGCACAAGUAUGCUGGUAGUAGCCUCUUUAAAUAAUAUGUAUAGACAACAACAACAACAAAAAAAUAGGCUGUUUUAAAGUUUCAGGGAAAGUUGGUGGCUGAUUUAAAGUUGUGCAGGCAACAUCUUCUGUGUAUGAAGCAAAUAUCGAUGUUUUGAAAAGCUAGGAGAUGACUUUGAAUGAAUGCAAGGUUAGUGAGAUCCUAAGAUCUCAAAAUAGCAUAUUCCCUAGAGUUCAAGAAAGCUGGUCCAGGAGGUUGAAAAAGCUAUUUUGUUGUUAAAUUAUUUUCUGGCCCUUCUUAAUAUUUAAAAAUGUAUUUCCCCUUGUGGCUUUCAACCAACUGCUCAAAAAAAGAGACUUGUUACAUGGAAGUUUUCAUUAAAGAGCUGACAACAAGAAUUUAGAGAGCCUUUCCUAGAGAAUGUCCUACUGCCCUGCAUUUGACAAACAAGCAUCCUUUACUAACAAGAGCAGGAAUUCAGAGGCACAAGAAAAAGCACUGGCAUGAGCCAAAGAGUCUAUCUUAAUGUUACUUUUGAACAUCUGCUGAGCAGCCACCAUAUGCAGGGCUGAGAGCUGGCCACAGGCAGAAGCCAUUGGAAGCACUUCAGGAACAAGCACACAGCUAUGGGACUUGAACAUGCAAGUGUUCAGGUUGUGUCAAGAAGCUUUUCUUUCCUUCUAUGAUGGAAUCUGUUCUUUUCUAUCCUACUUUCUUCUCUCCCUCUCCUCGCCACACUACAUCCUGCUCUUACGCAGUGAACGUUUUAAUGGCCCGUUUAUGUCUCAUGCCUCCAAACAACACUGAAUUUGAAAGCCCCCAUUUUUUUUUCUUUUCACCACCCUGUUGAGCAAUUUUCCCAAAAAAAGGGCAGCAAUUAUUAAAUCGAAUUCAAGUAAGCCAGCCAAAGAUAGGUCCUAAAUUGCUAGUCCCAGUAGAACCACCUGAUCCUAAACCAGUGCGAAACAAACAGUAACAAUGUCCCCAGCUGACUUCAGCUAAGAACCAGUGGCUCCUACCCCCCCUUUUUGUUGUUUUUUGUUUUGUUUUGUUUUGAGACGGAGUCUCGCUCUGUCGCCCAGGAUGGAGUGCACUGGCGCAAUCUCGGGCUCACUGCAACCUCUUCCUCCUCCCACGUUCAGGCGAUUCUCCUGCCUCAGCCUCCCAAGUAGCUGGGAUUACAGGCACCCGCCAUCACACCUGGCUAAUUUUUUUUUGUAUUUUUAGUAGAGGCCGGGUUUCGUCAUGUUGGCCAGGGUGGUCUCAAACUCCUGACCUCAAGUGAUCUGCCCACCUCAGCCUCGCAAAGUGCUGGGAUUACAGGUGUAAGCCACCGUGCCAAGCCAGCCCCAUUUUUUAAAUGAUGUUUUGGUAAGAGUGGACCAUGGGAAUUAGCUGACAGCAUCCCCUUUCUCUCUCCCUGCCUUGGUGGGACCCUCCCUGUGUGACCUUGGUCAAGUCCUCGAACUUCUGUCCUGUAUUUAAGAUGGAGCUGUUUUACCCACUUCAUAAGACAGAUGUGAGGUGCCGUUGAUUCUUGACUGCAAAAUACCUUGAAACCCUUACAUAAAGGCUGAAGUCAAUGGAGCCUAGUGGAAGACUUACUUUGUGGCUUGUGGUUGAAAGUCACAUCAAAAGACAAAUGUGGCCACGUUCAGGAAUUGGAGAUUUACUGGCAUGGCUCUACAACUGCUCAAUUAUUAAUCAUGCAGACUAACCUGUCAACACUGGGAGAUGCAACAUAGCAAAAGGACAGAGAAAUUAGAAUUUUUUGUGCAGAAAGCCCUAAAUUCCCACCUGAAUGUAACUUAUAGCUCCCUUACCUACUCUUACACAUGCCCUCCAACGUGCUAGACUGGCUUAUACAUAGGCCAACGCAAAAUACAAACGUGACAUGUUCACGUAGCCUAGUGGCUCUAUGCCUAUUAUCCACGUACCCUGCAUGGUAAUGUUGGAAACUUUAAAGUACAUUUCUUUCACAGCAGUGUUUUUUUUCAUAAGUGGCAUAUAAAUCUCAUUCAAUGAAAUGGGGAAAUCACGUUAAGAAGUUGGUUUGUUAUCUCCCAUUAAGCAAAGACUGGCAGGCGAUAAUUAAAAUAAAUAUGGGCACACAUGUAUUAAUAUACAGCACGCAUUUACAAGUUUAUUUUCCAGAUAAAAUUGUGCUAUAAGAACAGUUCUACCAAGACAGUCUGCACCAUUUCCAAGUCUCAGUUAAUUUACAGCAACUGCUGCUUUCAAAGAUGGCUGUGAAAAUAUGGAAGUUCCUCUCAAGUAGGCCAAGAAACAGUUCUAGAUUUUACUGAUUCUAAGUUUUAUUUUGUCAGGUUUUUUAAAUUUUUUCAGUGAGCAUGGUGACUGCAGAGGUUAGCGCUGUGAAAAGCUGGGCUAAAUAUUCUUUCUGUAAAGUCAAAUAGGAUUCCAUCCCUGUGAAAUAACACAAAAUUUCACUCUCUAAAAGCAACAGCAUGUAAACUAGAAUGAAAGAAGGAAAUUAUGUAUGUAUGCCUAAUAUUCUUUGUGAAU